UACGAAGGGGGCUAGCGUUGCUCGGAAUUACUGGGCGUAAAGCGCACGUAGGCGGAUUGUUAAGUCGGGGGUGAAAUCCUGGAGCUCAACUCCAGAACUGCCUUCGAUACUGGCGAUCUCGAGUUCGGGAGAGGUGAGUGGAACUGCGAGUGUAGAGGUGAAAUUCGUAGAUAUUCGCAAGAACACCAGUGGCGAAGGCGGCAUCACUGGCCCGACUACUGACGCUGAGGUGCGAAAGCGUGGGGAGCAAACAGG
rnacentral:rRNA from 1 species